AAUGCCAAGAAGAGGCUUCAACAAUAACGGAUGAAGAUGAGCUGUACGACAAGUGUGAGACAUGGAUUGCUACACGUGUUACAAAGGAGAGCAAAUUUGCAGAUGAAGAAACACAGAAGAAGGCUGAAGAGAUAGUGAGUGCAUGCAUUUUACUAAAGUUCAUUGUGGACGAUUUCAAUUGUCAUGCUAAAUUUUAAUGAAGUCUGCAGCAACACAUUUUAAUUGUGAUGCUAAAUUUUAAUUUUGUGAACAGAUUGAGUUGAAGGAGAAGGUUUCUACUGGAGAAACUAGCCUAAGUGGGUAUAAUGAUGUCUUGGAGAAGGCUUUGGGGAAGGACCAUGGUGGCCGAGUGCGGGGGGUUGCCGGCUUUGUCAACCCAACAACCUACUUUCACCUCCCUAGACGUACCAGCAGACAAAGCAUAGAAGAAACGAUUAAAAUCAGCCUGGAAAAAGUACUGGCUGAGCAAACGACAAAGAUCAUAGAAGAGAUAAGGAAGAAAACAAUUGAAGAAAACAAUGCAUGACCAAGUGCAAGCCCCCAAUGCACAAGCUGAAAUUGAAGAAGUCACUGGGAAGAAUAUCAAAGGCCAAGUCGAAGUGAAUGGCUAAGUGGAAGGGAAUGACGAACCUGGGGUGAAGUCAACCUUAAUUUUCAAGUGUCUUGAAGCAAUGGAGGUGAACGAAGUUGCUAAAAAGAAAACUUCAAACAAGAGGAGGCGGUGCGAACCCAAGUUUACGCAACCUGAAGAAGUGUUUGGUCAGGAGAUAGCAGAGACUGAUUGCAAGGCAGCCGAGGAANNNN
rnacentral:lncRNA from 1 species